CGAGCUGGCAGCUGGCUGCAGCUAGGGGGAGCUCCAGCGCACAGCUGAUCACAGGCACUUCCAGAAGAGCUGGCCGUCUAUAGCUCUCUCUUCCUCCAUCCUGCUGCUAGCCGAAGGGAAUGUUGAAGAGUGGCAGAACCCGGGUAACGUGCGGUAUAUGAGCAUAUGCACUCUGAGAAUCAGCUAAUGAGAAUUUAUAUAUCCUCAACUCAGAAGAGAAAAGGCGAUGAAAGAAGACUGUUUGAUCAUUACCAUCCCCAAUGCCUCCAUUGAUUAAAAUGUUUGGAAUAAAAAAUUUAAUUCAAUGAU